GAUGAACGCUGGCGGCGUGCCUAAUACAUGCAAGUCGAGCGAACAGAUAAGGAGCUUGCUCCUUUGACGUUAGCGGCGGACGGGUGAGUAACACGUGGGUAACCUACCUAUAAGACUGGGAUAACUUCGGGAAACCGGAGCUAAUACCGGAUAACAUUUGGAACCGCAUGGUUCUAAAGUGAAAGAUGGUUUUGCUAUCACUUAUAGAUGGACCCGCGCCGUAUUAGCUAGUUGGUAAGGUAACGGCUUACCAAGGCAACGAUACGUAGCCGACCUGAGAGGGUGAUCGGCCACACUGGAACUGAGACACGGUCCAGACUCCUACGGGAGGCAGCAGUAGGGAAUCUUCCGCAAUGGGCGAAAGCCUGACGGAGCAACGCCGCGUGAGUGAUGAAGGGUUUCGGAUCGUAAAACUCUGUUAUUAGGGAAGAACAAAUGUGUAAGUAACUGUGCACGUCUUGACGGUACCUAAUCAGAAAGCCACGGCUAACUACGUG
rnacentral:rRNA from 1 species